rnacentral:tRNA from 1 species
AGUUAAUGAACUUGAACAAGUAUAUAUUUUGAAAAUAUAAUAUAGAAAUUAAUAAUUUUCUAUUAACUU